UCCAAGGACACCAAAAUCAGACAACGCAACGAGUGGACCAUGUUAACUGUGAAAAAUAAUUCUCGAUUAUAAAUUAGUACUUAAGUUAAUUAAUUCACAUACGGAGCCUUAACAAUCCAAAACAUUUCCACCAUGGACCUGCUUCAUCUUUACGAAUGGAUCGAUUUAAAGAUUAUUUUUAUAUUUUCGUGUAUGUUUUUAUUCCUGAGCGAUUAUAUCAGAAAUAAAGUGCCGAAAAACUUUCCUCCUGGACCAUGGUCUUUACCUAUUAUUGGAGACCUUCAUCAUAUCGAUCACAAGAAAAUUCAUCUUCAGUUGGCAAAGUUUGCAGAAAAAUAUGGAGACGUUUUAAGCAUCAGAUUUUUCGGACUAAGAAUCGUUGUGUUGAACGGGUACAAAAGAGUAAAGGAAGUGUAUGUACAACAAGGCGAAAACCUCGUAGAUCGACCCAUGUUACCUAUGAUUUACGACGUCUUUGGAGACAAAGGUUUAGGUAGCUCCAGUGGAUAUAAAUGGAAACAUCAGAGGAGAUUUGCACUCUCAACUCUUAGAAACUUUGGAUUGGGAAAGAAAAGCCUGGAGCCGUCUAUACAUCUUGAAUGUCGCUUUCUGAAUGAGGUCAUUUCAAGUGAGAAUGGUCGACCCUUUAACCCUCAAAUCCUGCUAAACAAUGCUGUCUCAAAUGUGAUCUGUGUGCUUGUGUUUGGUAAUCGAUUUGAGUACAGUGACAAUGACUUCCAGAAUAUGUUGAAGAACAUCAAUGAGGCUAUGUAUCUGGAAGGAAGCAUCAGCGUUCAACUGUAUAACAUGUUUCCAUGGCUCAUGCGGCUACUGCCUGGACCACACAAAAAAAUGUUUGCUCUGUGGCAAAAGGUGAUUGACUUUGUUAGAGAGAAGGUAAAUACACACAGAGUGGAUUAUGAUCCAUCAAAUCCUCGAGACUACAUUGACUGCUUCCUUGCCGAGAUGGAAAAACUUAAAGACGACACAGAGGCUGGGUUUGAUGUGGAGAACUUGUGCAUCUGUACUCUGGAUCUGUUUGUAGCGGGAUCUGAGACAACCUCCACUACUCUGUACUGGGGUCUUCUCUACAUGAUAAAAUAUCCUGAGAUACAGGUCAGAGUUCAGGAGGAGAUUGAUCGUGUUGUGGGAGGAUCACGACAGCCAUCUUUAUCAGACAGAGACAACAUGCCCUACACCAAUGCAGUCAUUCAUGAGAUACAGAGGAUUGGAAAUAUUGUCCCAUUAAAUUUGCCCCGAGCUACUGUGGAAGACACUCAGAUAGGACAAUACUCCAUUCCAAAGGGUACAGCUGUGAUUGGCAGUUUGACAUCAGUGUUGUUUGAUGAGUCUGAGUGGGAGACACCUCACUCUUUUAACCCGGGUCACUUCCUGGAUGCUGAGGGGAAAUUAAGAAAGAGAGAUGCCUUUUUACCUUUUUCUCUAGGAAAGAGAGUGUGUCCUGGGGAGCAACUGGCACGAAUGGAGUUGUUCCUCUUUUUUUCCUCUCUGCUGCAGCGCUUCACUUUCUCUUCACCAGCAGGUGUAGAGCCCAGCAUGGAUUACAGACUGGGCACCACUCGAUGUCCCCAACCAUAUAAAUUAUGUGCAUUGUCACGUUAAGACAAUCUAUUCAUACAAACAGGUGUUUGUGUAAUGCUUGUGCCUCUGUACAGUAUAUAUGUACCAUAUAUGAUUUGAUAAAGUAAUAGAAUUUAUUCUAAUUUACUUUGGAUAAGAAACCAUUUGGAAAAUAUUAGUGAUCGACCGAUAUUGGUUUUUUAUAACCGAUACCGAUUAUUUGCAUGUUUAUGUACCCGAUAACCGAUAUGCAGAACCAAUAUUUAUUUACUGUUAUACUUCUGUUUCUGACAAUUAUUACAACACAAAUGAGCUGAAAAAAACAUUUUAUUUAUAACAAUCACUCCCCCCUUGCAUACAAAAAAAAAAAAACAUUCUAUUUAUACACAAAUAAAUAGAGGGGUCUGAGUCCAAAAAAUUUAAGCGCACUGUUACUAAGUGUCUUUGUUUUAAAAUAAAAGCUUUAAUGAGGUAAAAAAAUAAAAACAGGUAAAAAAAAUAAAGCACAAAAAUGAUUCUAACAUAUUGGUGGGGGCGGGAGGGCUAUUUAGGAGUGCAUAGCUAUUUACUCCCAGUUAAGCAGAACUAGGUUUUAGUGUAGAAAACAGAGUCUUUCAGCAUUCUGCCCUGUAAGCCUGCUUCCUUCAAAAAUGUCAUGCAGUGGCCGUGCUUGAGGCUUCCUGAUCAUCAACCCAGUCAGGUGCUGAGCAAUAUGAACGAACUUUUUUUCCCGAGACUAUAUAAAGUUAAACAGCACUUGUCAGUUGGCAUUUUAUGAUAUAAAUUUAAUCUAACGUUAGAUCAUGAAAUGCCAACUGACAAAGUGCUGUUUGACUAUAAUUUAAUCAACCGCGAUCGCGCAUGGAGAUAAUAAAUAAUUAAUUUCCACAAAGCGGUAGGCUAUAUUUAUAUGUGUAUUAGCGAAAUAAUUGUUAUGUAGUAAAUGAUAAUAUAAUCUAGGGUGUUUAAACAAGAUAAUCUUGUCAAAAGUUUCAUUCAGUCGCCGUGCUUAAGCCUCCAGAUCAUCCGUCAGUUGCUAAGCAAUAUGAACAAACUUUCUCUUCUAGACUAAUGGUGAGCAAAUACAACAGAUAGAGAAUUAAAUUCAACGCUUUUAUUUUCAACAUGCACUCAUUCAUGUCUGUUUUAUUUAAUUCAUGUAAAGAUACGUCUUUAUUGGGGCAGGACAUGAUGAAUUACACUACGUGACUCAAUGAGUUCGUCUCAAUUGUUUAGAAACAAGCUGCAUAAAUUAACUAUAUCAGGAAUUUAUGUCUCAGAUCUCAUUUGUGCAUGUCUGUUAUGUUAAAUAAAGUUGAUUAAUUAAAGCAAACCAAGUAGAACAUAUAUUUACCUGUGCACUGAGUUGUUGUUGACUGAUCUCCUCAGACACCCGGGCUGCAAUGGCGGAAAUCUCAAAACGGCCACAAGAUGGCGCCGUAAAUCGGCGAAUACGAUAUUA